rnacentral:lncRNA from 10 species
AGCCAAACCAGAAAGGGACACCGAGGCGCGAAAGGAGAGUGAUCCCAGCAGGAGGGACGGCAAAGAUUGAAGAGAGCGACCAGCCCGAGAGACAGGGUCUCACUCUAUCGCUCAGGCUGAAGUGCAGUGGCGGAUCAGGCUCACUGCAACCUCAACCUCCUGGGCUCAAGUGAUCCUCCCACCUCAGCCUCCCAAAGUGGUGGGAUUACAGGCCUGAGCCACGGCAACUUGCCUCUUCCUAUAUUUUCUUUUACGCUUAAAUAAAUUACUUAAACAU